rfam:Pseudogymnoascus pannorum VKM F-4520 (FW-2644) contig_3094, whole genome shotgun sequence.
GGCACUUUGGCGGAGUGGUUAACGCGAUGCCCUGCUAUAUCCUCUGGGUGUAUUUAGGCAUUUCCCUCGGGAGCGAGUGUUCGAAUCACUCAGGUGUCG